UACGAAGGGGGCUAGCGUUGCUCGGAAUCACUGGGCGUAAAGCGCACGUAGGCGGAUUGCUAAGUCAGGGGUGAAAUCCUGGAGCUCAACUCCAGAACUGCCUUCGAUACUGAGAGUCUCGAGUCCGGGAGAGGUGAGUGGAACUGCGAGUGUAGAGGUGAAAUUCGUAGAUAUUCGCAAGAACACCAGUGGCGAAGGCGGCUCACUGGCCCGGUACUGACGCUGAGGUGCGAAAGCGUGGGGAGCAAACAGG
rnacentral:rRNA from 1 species